rnacentral:tRNA from 1 species
GGAAGCGUGCCCGAAAGAUAAGGACCUCCUUGAUAGGGAGGCUAA